CUCCAUAUUUCCACUUCCAUUCUCCAUUUAGAUUCCUAAAGAAGAACAGCAACGGCGUUUCCCCUUCUCCCAUCUCACUGCCUCUGGCGAAAUCGCCACCCCUCUGCGACGCCGGAGCAUCCUCGGUUACGUUUCCCCCUUCCAUAAUCUCCAACAUCUUUUCCUAAUUUCUCCAAAUCUGGAAAUCCCCAGUUGAAGGGAAACAGCGGAGGUUUCGAGAGGCAGCGCCUCCACCGCCUUCCGUCUCUCCACGGUGACUAGGCGUCAUCAGUCUCGGCCCCGUUCGUCGGCGAGCACCGCCGGUGUGCCUCAGGAGCUGCCGCAUUACUGCUCCGUCCCCGGAGACAGAUUUCGCUGCUCCAGCCGUCGCCGACUCAUCCUCGGCCUUAAGCUAAGUCACUCUUCCCCUUAUUCCCCUUACUUAUUCCUUUUUGGCAGUGGCUACGGUGACUGAUCGUUGGUGCUAUUUCUAUGUUCUCUAAGUUCUUGGCUAAAAACUGUGUUGUUCUACAUGAUGCAAAGGUGUGGGGUUGUGAUGUUACCUGUUGUGGUGAAGGAAGCUUCCUGUGCUGUAACUCUCUAUGAUACUCAAGCUCUCUACUCUAAAUCUUGCUAUGUUGCUGAAUUUUUGUGGUGCGUGGGAGGGGAAUUUGAUGAGUAUGUAGGGGUUUUUAUAGGCAAGCCCUGGUGUACCUUGGCGGAAUUAAAUGAUGCUGCCACCUUCUUUGUUUCUUCCUACAUACAAUCCCCUUUAUUGAUCCUCAUUCCCCUCCUUUUUCAUGGUUGUAGAAUGGCUCCAAAGGAUACCUAGUACUUGGUUAGUAAUUGGAAAUGUUUGCCUGUGGCAGGUACAAACAAGGAUGCGGGGUUUGACUUGCUCCUUUGGUGGGGAAAAGCUUGGCUGCAAAAGUUGCUGCCCUGUUGCUGUUCGAGAGGGCUUGGGCCUGAGGGGCCGGGUGGAUGGCCAAGACUUGGGCUUGGAAAAAGAAGGCCCAAGGUGCAAGAAAAAUAAGAUUUUGCUUCUUGAGUUUCUCUUUGGCCCAUUGGCGACAUUUGAAAUAGAAUAGUACUCCACAUUUUCCUUCUCUUUCAUUUAUGUAGAUUAAAGUGUUAGUCGCGAGGUAUGCGAAUGCUUUCGUUCGGGGAGAACCACUUCAUAUCUUUGUACAACUUCAUUUGAUUUCGUAACAUCCAUUAGAUGGUUUUUGUUCGUUCGAUUAUUACUUAAA